ACACUCCUGCGGGAGGCAGCAGUGGGGAAUAUUGCACAAUGGGCGCAAGCCUGAUGCAGCGACGCCGCGUGGGGGAUGAAGGCCUUCGGGUUGUAAACUCCUUUCGCUAGGGACGAAGCUUUUUUGUGACGGUACCUAGAUAAGAAGCACCGGCUAACUACGUGCCAGCAGCCGCGGUAAUACGUAGGGUGCGAGCGUUGUCCGGAAUUACUGGGCGUAAAGGGCUCGUAGGUGGUUUGUCGCGUCGUCUGUGAAAUUCUGGGGCUUAACUCCGGGCGUGCAGGCGAUACGGGCAUAACUUGAGUGCUGUAGGGGUAACUGGAAUUCCUGGUGUAGCGGUGAAAUGCGCAGAUAUCAGGAGGAACACCGAUGGCGAAGGCAGGUUACUGGGCAGUUACUGACGCUGAGGAGCGAAAGCAUGGGUAGCGAACAGGAUUAGAUACACUAGUAGUCCCAUGA
rnacentral:rRNA from 1 species